AGUCUACAACGUGGUUCUUAAAACAUCUCAGUCAUAUUCUUUCUGCAGGAGUUUUUUAAUUUUGUAACUAGAAUAUUUUUGCUGUUAUUUGAGUGUACGUGCUAUGGGAGUAGCGAGGUUAGUAGGCGAGCGGAUAAAGAUGUGAACUUAAUGUGAAACAGCCCGCUUCAAUCUGCGCUGCCCCGAGCGUUCGGGAGAGUGAGGAAUCUGCGUUUCCCAAAUUCCGCAAAUUCCCCUGCUUGUCGGCAUCAGUUAGAUCAUUGUGCAGUGUCAUGCUUCACUUCGGAAUCCUUGGCGCCAAUCGAAAUAAUAUCUGGGUUUAAAAAAAGAAAUGAGGGUUUCCCCAAAGAGCCGCAACUAUCCGUCUUUGGAUAGUAAAAUUGUACACCAGCUCCAAAAAAACAGUAGACGGGAGUAUUGGGAAUGUUAACCCCCGUGUUAAAUCGUGUUAACCGCGCUGGGGACAUCGAGUGUCCAUUGAGAAAGGGCCAUGAGAAAUGCGAGGUCUAGUUCCAGAGAGAACCUACUAAUUUCAGGGAUAAACAGACCAAAUGAGGGAACAGUCCUUGAAUCCAUUCGGUAAGCCAUCCCAGUCCCAGGCAUCCCAAUUUGUCCCGCGUUGUCUCAUUUGGAGAAUUGGGAGCGGUGAGGGACCGGGUUCCCUUUAAGGAAGAACUUACGCCGAAGAUAGACUCAAAAAGCUGGAGAACCUCAUCGGGUCGGGCAGCAUCUCUGGAGAAAACGUUUCGAGUCUGAAGAAGGAUCUCGACCCGAAACGUCACCUUUUCCAGAGAUGCUGCCUUGGAGAGAAGGAAAAGGGUGGCGUUUUGGGUCGAGGCUCUUCAGUCUGAAGAAGCCCUCGGUUAGACCCCGACUCUUCCCCCGCUAACAAAUACCAAGUAGAGCAGUGGGUGAGGGCACUCAUUCCACUCUGAGGGCCGAUGGGACCCUAGCGCCGGCCUCUUCCUCGCGGGAGUCAGUGAAAUGCCCAUUUUCAACAGGAAUGUAACGCAUGUGCGUUGUUGCUGCUUAAAACUUAAAAGAGUUUGUCCCGCGCAGACUGCGCAGCGAUAGUGUCGAAAUCUGUCGCUUCAGUCACGAAAUUAUGAAUGUAGUAACUAGUUAAAAGCAAAGGUGGUUUUUUUGGGUGACCCCGCUGCCCGCCGCGGGCAUUGACCUGGCCUCUCUCCACUCGGGUGCCUGAGGAAUUCGCGAGGAGGAGAUAAAAAAGGCGCGCAUUCUUGAUCAGAUUUCGUCGAAUGAAUUGUCCAAUUUCGACCCUCGCCGAUAAAGAUCAAAGCGGCGUCGCCUUUUGACUUGCUUGAGAACGUGAGGAAUCUUUAUGGCGGAUGAGAGUAAAGAACAGGGAGGGUCCCGGCAGCUCAGUGGCGAGGCCAUGAAUCACCGGGCCAUCCAUGAAUUGGAGGCGUAUCAUUGCCCCACUAUCCCGCCCUGCUCCACUCUAAUCUGACCGGGGAAGCGAGAGGCUAAAUGUGUCAGGUCGUCAAUUGAUUGCAGCAGGUCUGAAAAGGAGAGUCCGAGACCAUCACUUGGCAGUGUAGAAGAAUGCUCGAACGAAGGCAUGAUCGAGGAACCACGCACUUUAAAACGUAACUCGCCCGCAUAUUAAAACCCCAAAUGACCGAGAAAACCGUCCCAUCCACCUGAACGGGCAGAGUGAUUACUGGGGGAACUCGCGUUAGAGCCUGCAGCUCUUAUUGAACUCUGACUGCUGCAUAACCUGGACACGACCAACGUCCAGGUUCAGGAGCAGCUUCUUCCAAACAACCAUCGGGCUAUUAAACACUGUAAUCUUUAACCAAGCUCCGGACUACAUGGACUUGAGGGCAUUGUUUUUAUCUUUGUACUAUUAUUUGUACUUGUAUACUUAAGCGUUUUGUGUUUAUUAUGGCUAUUUACAGAGUAAUGUGUUUCUAAA